rnacentral:rRNA from 1 species
UGGGGAAUAUUGCACAAUGGGGGAAACCCUGAUGCAGCGACGCCGCGUGAACGAAGAAGGUAUUCGUAUCGUAAAGUUCUGUCCUAUGGGAAGAUAAUGACAGUACCAUAGAAGAAAGCUCCGGCUAAAUACGUGCCAGCAGCCGCGGUAAUACGUAUGGAGCGAGCGUUGUCCGGAAUUAUUGGGCGUAAAGGGUACGCAGGCGGUUUAAUAAGUCGAAUGUUAAAGAUCGGGGCUCAACCCCGUAAAGCAUUGGAAACUGAUAAACUUGAGUAGUGGAGAGGAAAGUGGAAUUCCUAGUGUAGUGGUGAAAUACGUAGAUAUUAGGAGGAAUACCAGCUGCGAAGGCGACGUUCUAGACACAAACUGUCGCUGAGGUACGAAAGCGUGGGGAGCAAACAGG